rnacentral:rRNA from 1 species
AACGAACGCUGGCGGCGUGGAUAAGACAUGCAAGUCGAGCGGGACACUGCGGGUAGCAAUAUUCGGAGUGUUCAGCGGCGCAAGGGUGCGUAACACGUGGGCAAUCUGCCGUGAAGCCCGGAAUAACCUCGAGAAAUCGAAGCUAAUACCGGAUGUGAUUUUUGGAGGACAUCCUUUGAAAAUUAAAGCUGGGGAUCGUAAGACCUGGCACUUCUCGAUGAGCCCGCGGCCUAUCAGCUAGUUGGUGAGGUAACGGCUCACCAAGGCUAAGACGGGUAGCUGGUCUGAGAGGACGACCAGCCACACUGGAACUGAGACACGGUCCAGACACCUACGGGUGGCAGCAGUCGAGAAUUUUUCACAAUGGGCGAAAGCCUGAUGGAGCGACGCCGCGU